rnacentral:rRNA from 1 species
UACGAAGGGAGCUAGCGUUGUUCGGAAUCACUGGGCGUAAAGCGCACGUAGGCGGACGUGUCAGUCAGGGGUGAAAUCCCGGAGCUCAACUUCGGAACUGCCUUUGAUACAGCACGUCUUGAGUCCGGAAGAGGUGGGUGGAAUUCCUAGUGUAGAGGUGAAAUUCGUAGAUAUUAGGAAGAACACCGGUGGCGAAGGCGGCUCUCUGGGACGGUACUGACGCUGAGACGCGAAAGCGUGGGGAGCGAACAGG